UUGUCUUUUAAGUUUUCACCUAAAGAAAUUAGAACGUCCAGAUCAUUAUUGGAUUUGUAAAAGAGAAAAGAAACACAAUUGCUUUGUUAAGACUUCCUUUUUGCCUUUGGUUUUCUGUUUGAUAUCUUUCUAAUUGAUAUUAUUAACGAGCCAUUUUGUUUGUUUUGUGUAUCUAUUGGCAAUGUGAUUAUAUUUCCAUUCCUGUUGCAAAUGCUACUUGUGCCAAUCAAUUAAAAAAAAUGCUACUUGUAGAGUGAAUUCACGGUUUACAAUUUUGAUUUAAGGCCUAAGUGUGUUGAGUUCCAAAGAGCCUUCCAACUAUCUUGCCAGAUACAACAACACUCCUCAAUAUCAAGCAAGUUAGGGUCAGCUAUAUGAAUUCUCAGUUACCAUGUCACUCUCACUCUGUUUAAGCUCAUCAAAUAUCUUUCUAGAUAUAAUUGCCCAAAAGCUCAUUAUGGAGCAUGUUCCUGUUGUUAGUUUAUUUUCUGAAUGCAGCAAUCGGCUUCUUUAGUAAAGGCUAAUUCUUGAAAGGAAAAUUACUCUUGUGUGGCAAAGAAAAAUAUAUUAAUGAACAUUUGGUUUUAAUAUGUUCUUGAAUGAGGCUUUCUGUUAUGCAUCUAAGCAGAAAAAAUGUAUAAGAAACUUGUAUCAGUCUCUGUUUCCAGAUUUGGAUGAAAUGGUUCUUUUAUCAUACUCCAAAGUGUCUUAGCACUCUAAUGGUUAUUUCAGUGGAAGAUGCUGUAUAUGUUUUAGCUCCCUUGUGCAUAGUGGUUAUUAAGCUUUCAUUAUCAGUAAUUUCAUCUCCUCUUGCAGAAAAUAAAGAAAUUCUUGCUUGCUGAAGUAAUCUUUGGGAACACAGAAGGGACCACUGAGAAAAGAAGUUAAUCCCUGGUGAAAUCAAAGUGUGAACUGUGAUGUUGAAUUCUUGUAAUUCAGACCACUGGGUACCUUGCUUGUCUAGCGGAAUAGAAUUCUAACUGUUUGUGCUAACAGAAAAUAGAUUUUUGACGUGUAAAAUUAUGGCCUAAAUACAUUGCUGUCAUUUCAUUUUACAUCAAGCAUUUUAAGACUUUCUUAAUGAUCAGAUUUUAGUUUCCUCUUGAUCUGAAAAGUAUUA
rnacentral:lncRNA from 1 species